AUUGAACGCUGGCGGCAUGCUUUACACAUGCAAGUCGAACGGCAGCACGGGCUUCGGCCUGGUGGCGAGUGGCGAACGGGUGAGUAAUAUAUCGGAACGUACCCAGCAGUGGGGGAUAACGUAGCGAAAGUUACGCUAAUACCGCAUACGAUCUAUGGAUGAAAGCAGGGGACCGCAAGGCCUUGUGCUCCUGGAGCGGCCGAUAUCGGAUUAGCUAGUUGGUGAGGUAAAGGCUCACCAAGGCGACGAUCAGUAGCUGGUCUGAGAGGACGACCGGCCACACUGGAACUGAGACACGGUCCAGACUCCUACGGGAGGCAGCAGUGGGGAAUUUUGGACAAUGGGCGCAAGCCUGAUCCAGCAAUGCCGCGUGAGUGAAGAAGGCCUUCGGGUUGUAAAGCUCUUUUGUCAGGGAAGAAACGGUAGAGGCUAAUAUCCUUUGCUAAUGACGGUACCUGAAGAAUAAGCACCGGCUAACUACGUG
rnacentral:rRNA from 1 species